CUCUCUCGCUCUCUUUUCAAAUAAAUAAAUAAAAUCUUUUAAAAAAAUAAAAUAAAAAUUUUUUUCCUUUCCUUAUUGCACUGGUUAGACCAUCUAGUAUGAGGUUGAUUAGGAAUGAAAAUAGUCAGCCUUGCCUUAUUGUCACUCAGUCUUUCACCAUUAAGUAUAAUGUUAGCUGUAGAUUUUUUUUUUUAAUUUAUUCAUUCGAGAUAGAGAGCAUGAGCAGGGGUAGAAGCAGAGGGAGGGGGAGAAGCAGACUCCCCGCUGAGCAGGGAGCCCGAUGCAGGGUUCCAUCCCAGGACCCUGGGAUCAUGACCUGAGCGAAAGGCAGACGCUUAACCAUCUGAGCCACCCAGGUGCCCCAGCUGUAGAUUUUUUAAAGUUCCCUCUUCAAGUUAAGGAAGUUUCCUUUUAUUCCUGGUUUGCUGAGAGUUUUUAUCUAGUCUGUUAAUGUGGUGAAUUAAAGUGACAUUCAAAUAUUGAACUAGAUUUGCAUAUGCCACCCCCAUUGAUUGUUAGGGAUUGUCAUCACUGGAUUCAGUUUGCUAGCAUCCUGUUGAGGAUAUUUGUAUCUCUGUUCAUGAGGAGUAUUGGCCUGUGGUUUUCCUUUCUUACAAUGUCUUUUUAUGGCUUUGUUAGAGUAGUGCUGACCUCUUAGGGUUGGAAAGUGUUCCCUCUUCUGCAUUCUGGAAGAGACUGUAUAGAACCAGUGAAACCAUCUGGGCCUGGAGUUUUCUAUGUUGGAAGGUUUUUAGCUAUGAAUUCAAUUUCUUUAAUAGAUAUAAAAUUAUUCAAGUUACCUGUUUCUUCUAAGUUGAAGAAUUUAUAGUAAGAGUUGUUCAUGGUAAUCUUUUAUUAUCCUUUUAAUAUCUACAGUAAUGUCUUCUUUUAAAAUUUUUUCCCCAAAGAACCAUGUUUGAUUUCAGUUUUUUUCUGCUUUGUAUUUUAUUGAUUUCUAUUUGGCUUUAUCCAUAUUAAAGCUUUUUGGUCAGGUGCCUACACAUUUAGGGUUGCUAUGUCUUUUGGUGAAUUGAUCUUUUUCAUUAUUAUGUAAUGUCCCUAUUUAUUCCUGGUAAUAUUUCUUGUUCUCAAGUCUAUUUUAUUUGGUAUUAACAUAGCCACUCCAGUUUCCUUUUGAUUAGUGUUUACUUGAUAGAUCUUUUUUCAUCCUUUUACUUUUAACCUAUGUCAUUCACUAUAUUUAAAUUGGAUUUCUUGUAAACAGCAUAUAGUGAAUCAUAUUUUUAAAAUCCCAUUUGACAAUCUCUCUGUCUUCUAAUUCGUAUAUUUAGACCGGAGGUCAGCAAAGUUUUUCUGUAACAGGUCAGACAAUAAAUAUUUCAGACUUUGUGAACUAUGUGGACUCUGUUGAUACUGUUCAAUUCUGUCAUUGUAACCAACAGUACUGAUUCUUUCCUUUGUGGUCAUCAGUCCUCUAGUGAGCCAUCCAGUGAACUUACUGUUUCAGAUAUUAUCUUUUUCAAUUUUGAAAUUUCUACUUGGUUUCUUUGUAUAGUUUCUAUUUCUUCAAGUGACACUUAUUCAUUUGAAGUGUUUUUACCUUUACCCCAGAGCACAUAGUUAUUUUUUUAAUCUUUUUUUUUUUUUUUUAAGAUUUUUAUUUAUUUAUUUGACAGAGAGAUAGAGCACAAGUAGGCAGAGCGAGAAGCAGGCUCUCCGCUGAGCAGGGAGCCCGAUGCGGGACUCGAUCCCAGGACCCUGGGAUCAUGACCUGAGCCGAAGGCAGACGCUUGACGACUGAGCCACCCAGGUGCCCCGAGAGCACAUAGUUAUGAUAACUGAUUUAAAGUCUCGAGUAUUCCAGUACCUGAUUUGCUUUGGGAUUGGAUUGAUUCUUUUUUCCCUUCAUGAUUGGUGAAAUUUUUCUUUCUUUUUUUUUUUUUUAAGAUUUUAUUUAUGAGAGAGAGAGCACAAGCAGGGGGGCGGGACAGAGGGAGAAGCAGAUUCCCCAUUGAGCAGGGAGCCCGAUGCGGGACUCAAUCCCAGGACCCCAGAAUCAUGACCUGAGCCCAAGGCAGAUGCUUAACUGACUGAGCCACCCAGGUGCCCCAAUUUUUCUGUUUCUUUGUAUGUCAAGCAAGUUUGGGUUGUAUCCUGUACAUUUUUAAUAAUAUAUUUUGGAACUUUGGGUCCUUUCAAAAUCCUCUAGAGAAUAUUUACUUCUUUUGUUUUAGCAGUCACUAGCCUGGUUGGUUUCAGACUGCCAGUUCUGUGGUGCCUUUUUGUGUGAUGGUUUUAAUUUUAGUUCAGUUUUCAAAGCCUUUGUAAUGCUGCUUUGGGUAUGUCCUAUCCCUGCAGAGUUCAAGGGUAAGUCUGGGACUGGUGCCAUUUAUACGCACUGUUAGGGGAACCCUCCUUAGCUGUUUCCUCUCCAGUAUUCUUCUCACACUCCCUGGCUCCCAGGGGACCCUUUACCUAGCCCCGUGGCCAGAAAGAUGGGGUUUUUCUAGGAGUUGUAGCUGCCUGUGCUGCCAUUGCACAGUUCUGGGUAACUCGGGGUGCCCUCAGGGCAAAGUGGCAGGAGAAAAGAGAGAACAAAAUAACCAUAUCUCCCCCGCCCGCCCCCACCCCCGGCCCCUGUGUUCUUCCGACCACUCUGGCCAGAAAGAUGGGGGCUUUUCUGGGGGUUUUCACUGCCUGUGUUGCUGCCAUGCAGUUCCCCAACUGGGACUGCCUUCAAGGCCAGGCUGGGAAAAAAAAAAGAGGGUGGUUUCCCUCCAUAAGGACAUCCCCCAGCAGCCCCUUUCCCUGUUCUCUGGCCAGAGGGACGAGGUUUCUUUUGCAGUUUUUGCUGCCCUCUCUCCUCUUGUUACUGUUUACAUUUGUAGUCCUUAGGUAGUUGUUUGGUUGUUUUGUCCAGAGUUUCUGUAGUAAUCAUUGUAUGAUUGAGGCAACACUAGGUUUACUCCAUCUGAGCCAGCUCCAAAAGUCCCCAUCAU